rnacentral:tRNA from 1 species
UCCUGCUUAGCUCAGUCGGUAGAGCGCUCCACUGGAAAUGGAGAGGUCCCCUGUUCGUACCAGGACCAGGUG